rnacentral:lncRNA from 1 species
UUGGUAUUAAAACUUUAAGAAUUUGUGCUGAUGAAUGUGUGAUUUUUGAUAGAUUUACCUUAUCUCUAUGGUGUUUAAGAGCCACAGAAUUUGUUUCUAUCAGAAUAUACUCAUAAAACUUUUGUGUUUUUAAAGGAUCAUAUGGUUGAAAAUGCUAUCCAUUUGGAAAAAAAAUUCUACUAUUUAUCUAGGGGUGUUUUCAAAAUACUCAUCUUUUAUAGUAAGGAUUAGUUGUUGUUGGGGUUUAUCAAUAUACUUUGAAAAGGAGGUUCUUCGAGGAAAGCUUUAAAGUGGUGUGGGAUCAAAAAUUUCUACA